CAGUCGCCACGGUAGUACGUAGGUGGCAAGCGUUGUCCGGAAUUAUUGGGCGUAAAGCGCGCGCAGGCGGAUCAGUCAGUCUGUCUUAAAAGUUCGGGGCUUAACCCCGUGAGGGGAUGGAAACUACUGAUCUAGAGUAUCGGAGAGGAAAGUGGAAUUCCUAGUGUAGCGGUGAAAUGCGUAGAUAUUAGGAAGAACACCAGUGGCGAAGGCGACUUUCUGGACGAAAACUGACGCUGAGGUGCGAAAGCCAGGGGAGCGAACGGGAUUAGAUACCCGGGUAGUCCCUGUCUCUUAUACA
rnacentral:rRNA from 1 species